UUUCUGAAAAAGCACUGAGGCCACUGAGAGGUUCAUUUUACACAGAUAUUCUGGAUUCAUAUGUAGAAUACUUGGAAAAAGAAGGUGCCUCAAAGAGUGGACUUGAAUUUGAACAAGAGAAAGAAGUGUUUCGUGUAUGCUUUCGUGAUGCAUCACAACCAAAUGUAAAUAUGUGGUGCAAAUGCAGGGUACUAGAAGAUGGAAAGUUUGAUAUAUACAAGGUAAGUAGAAUUUUAGUUAUAUAGCGACAUUCAUGACAGUAGAUUUUGUAACAAGAAAACAGGUUGAUGAUAUUUAACUUUCAUCAUCAAGUUCUGAGGUUUGUGUUUUUCUCCAAUUAAUUAUUCUUUUAGAUUGAACAUGUCUAUACUCGUCACAUGCUCAGAGACAUAUCUUGCCAUGAAAAGAAUCUGGACUUGAGGCUGGAUCUGUGCACCAAAAGAACUGUAACUACUUUUACUAGAGUUUGAACAAGUUCCCUCGAAGGACUAGUACACCAUCUAGGGUUCAAAGUCAAGCACAACAAGCUUAAGAACAACUACAACAUCAGCAACAGCAGCAGCAACAACAGCAUCAUCCAAACUAUAGUUUGAAGUAAAAAAUGUUCAAGAUUAUAAAACUUUAUUAUGUUAAGCUUUCAAAUUUAAGUUAGAACUAAGAUCUCAUGAAGUAGACACAUUCAUGGUUUGAAUUAGUUAUUGUUUAAUGUAAUACUUAUGGUUUAUCAAUCUAU